rnacentral:lncRNA from 1 species
CCGGGCUGCUUUGAAGCUUGAGAUCAGCCCAGGGUCCACAGGUAUGAGUUUAGACCCCCUUCAUGGGGCUGCAGUCAAACUGUAGAGAUAGCAUCUGUAUUUCUCAUACUGUGACAAAAUUUGGCUCGUAUCUCUGCUAUAAAAAGACUGAGAGGAAUACCAAGCUGGCUCUGAUGUAAAUGCAGCUAAACCCACAAGAUACGAUGACUGAAGUCCUGGGACUGAUAGUGCAGGAAGCAUCUGAUAGGAGUGGGAGCACCAGCAAUGCAAAGAAUAUACAGUUUUGAUCACAGAGGGACUUGGGGCUGCAAGUUUUAGGGCAAACCACACCGAUGCACCAAAAGCAGCAUUAGAAAUUUACUUAAAGAAAAGGGUGUUUUUUUGCACCUGUGUUUUCUGAAUUCAAACCCGGCAGUCCUGAGGCCUCCCGCAUGGGUUGGAGGGGCUGAGUGCCUGAGCAAGGUGGGCCGCCUCCUGCUAGGCCUUCAAAGUCCACCUCAUUUCUCUGAGGGCAUUUUGAACAUAAAUCCAGAGAGGGGUUUAAUGCCGUCAUCCAGAUGUACAGCUGGUUUUCAGCUACUUCGCUCCGCAGUGUGCAGCUGACAAGGGGAGAGAAGGCCACCUGAGGGGACGAGUGUUUCUUGUUUGUCAGCCACUGCCUUCCUAGUCUGAGGCCUUUCUGUGAACAAGCUCCAGUGCCUCUGUGGAGUCUUGCAGCACAUCACAUGGAAGAUUUAUGGGCAUGGCAUUGAGCAGCUGAUAAGGUGUGAGAUGCGCAUGAAGGACUGGCAGUGUAUGUGGCAGGCAUCCUCCAUCAAGCAGCAACCCGGUCUGACUUUGAAGCUGUUAUUCUGGCAAAUCUCUGAUAAAUAAUAACAUGGAGAUCAAGGGCCAGAAAACAGGAAAUACUGUGCGUCCCCUCCAUGUGGGGCUUGAUCCAUAGCUGGCGCAGAUCAGCAUCAUGCCAUUGGAAGAAGAGAAUUUGUAUAGACUUACACCAGCUGAACACCAGAGUUACCAAUGAAAUAGAGUAGUUCUGUGAAUAAACAGAAUACUACUGGAGG